rnacentral:rRNA from 1 species
GAUGAACGCUGGCGGCGUGCCUAAUACAUGCAAGUCGAGCGAACAGACGAGGAGCUUGCUCCUCUGACGUUAGCGGCGGACGGGUGAGUAACACGUGGAUAACCUACCUAUAAGACUGGGAUAACUUCGGGAAACCGGAGCUAAUACCGGAUAAUAUAUUGAACCGCAUGGUUCAAUAGUGAAAGACGGUUUUGCUGUCACUUAUAGAUGGAUCCGCGCCGCAUUAGCUAGUUGGUAAGGUAACGGCUUACCAAGGCAACGAUGCGUAGCCGACCUGAGAGGGUGAUCCGCCACACUGGGACUGAGACACGGCCCAGACUCCUACGGGGGGCGGCAGUGGGGAAUUUUGGACAAUGGGCGAAAGCCUGAUCCAGCCAUGCCGCGUGCAGGAUGAAGGCCUUCGGGUUGUAAACUGCUUUUUUACGGAAAGAAAAGACUUUUUCUAAAAAAGAGGGGUCAUGACGGUACCGUAAGAAUAAGCACCGGCUAAAUACGUG